AAUUUGGAGAAAUGUUGGAGGUUUUCAUCUUUAAUUUUUUUUUACAUUUAUGCAUUUGGCAGACACUUUUAUCCAAAGUGAGUUACAAUACAUUGUUUUUGUCAGUAUGUGUGUUCCCUGGGUUCAGACUCACAACCUUAUGCGCUGCUAACGCAAUGCUUUACUGAGCUAUACAAGCAUUUGUAUGACUUAUUAUUCACUUUUGUUCAACAGAGUAAAGAAAGACACACAAUGUUGGAACAACUUUAGGGAUUCAAUAACCAGCACGUUUCCACUGAUGCAUUCUGAUGUCGUGUGUGGUGUCGGGUGGAUUUGCCGCUGCAAUUGAUACUGAUGAUAACAGACUCUCUCACUUCAUAAAACACAGCAGGUAGACUAUAAGAAGAUCCAUAGUUGACCUGCAGCAGAGGUUUAUGGGAAGGAUUAGCAGGAAGAGACGUGACAAGUUUUUUGCUGUUAAUAAAGAGAUUUCCCACUGAAACGACAAAUUAACUCCGUGCAUAAAUUUACCACGGUGUAGUCAUCCUACCCUUGGAUGAAGAUCUACAUGAUCUUCUGUCAGAGAGAGCGCUGAAGUGGCCGUGUGUUGGUUCAAGCGAUGGACUCAAGCCUCUCUGGAAGCUCAAUGUGUGAUCUGAAUCUUUACCGUCUGUAACUUAAAAUGGACAAAUUGCUUUAAUUACACUUUAUUCUCCUUUAAAUACCUACAGUAUUACCAUUACCCCCAAUAUUUGUAUGCAUGCAUUUAGAUAUGACAUGCAGCUUUGCUUUUUGAUGCAGAGACAUUGAAAACAGGAUUAAAUCUGAUGUGUGAAGCUGUCAACCUUUUCUCUUGUUGGACUCUGUAUCAGAAGAGAUCCAGUCCUCAGUUCUCUGAUGGCUUGAGUCUGUCUUCACACGUCUGAUGGUAGAUUGAUAAAGUUUAUUAG